rnacentral:lncRNA from 1 species
CUGCCCAAGGCCCUUGGCACAGGUUGGGAAGUGGGAAUGGUCCCCUGGGCCCUGCACACUCCGUUCUUCAUGGUGGGUCCUGCAUCCGUGGGAGGUUUCUGGGCUGCUGCUCUGAGGAGGGAUUUGAGGUCAGGCUGACUUUGGUGCUUCCCAAAAGGCACUGACUCUCUCUGUUUCAGUUCAGGUCCAGGGCAGCCACCCAGCAUUGCUCCAAAUCCACGAGAAGUGAAGCAAACCCAGGAAUUCACCCAGCCCUUCCCAUCAGUGGGCAGGUGGCAGCCCCAGUGCCAGGGAGAGGCAGGUGCUUUCUGCACACCCAGAACCGGACCAGACCCGCUGCCCAAAAUCCCAGCACAAACCACGGCUGCCCACAACCUUCUCCAGGGGGAGUGGUAAGUGCUGGGAACCCAGGGGACGUUCCCAGGACCUGAGCAACCAAAAACCUCCCUUUUCUCCCAGCCACAAGCAGUAACCCUGAGGUGACGGGCAGAAAGGGCCACUCCAUCACAAUGCCCGCUCCCCAGGGAUCCUUGGUACAUCGCUGCUUCCUUCCCAGCCCAUCCCAAAGAGCCAUCUCCACAUGGGACACUACCAAAACAUUUAUUAGAAGAGUGCAGGGUGGCCAGGCUCCACAGGACCUGCCCUGCAGCUGCCCACAGAGCUGGGGAGGGCAGCAGGAAUGUUCACCCUGGGCAUCUCGUGUGUCCCAGCAUCAACCGGGAGAUGCAGGCGCUUGUUUCCCCGAGGGAAAUGUGUCCCUGCUGGGGCGUGGGCAGUGGGGACAGGCUGGCUGUGCCAUUCCUGCAGGCAGGAGGCAGCACUCGGGCACUGCAGAACUCCCAGCAGGGAGAUCCAGGGCUGCUCACACUGGGCACUGCAGAGCUCCCAGCAGAUCCAGGGCUGCUCACACUGGGCACUGCAGAGCUCCCAGCAGGCAGAUCCAGGGCUGCUCACACUGGGCACUGCAGAGCUCCCAGCAGAUCCAGGGCUGCUCACACUGGGCACUGCAGAGCUCCCAGCAGAUCCAGGGCUGCUCACACUGGGCACUGCAGAGCUCCCAGCAGAUCCAGGGCUGCUCACACUGGGCACUGCAGAGCUCCCAGCAGAUCCAGGGCUGCUCACACUGGGCACUGCAGAGCUCCCAGCAGAUCCAGGGCUGCUCACACUGGGCACUGCAGAGCUCCCAGCAGAUCCAGGGCUGCUCACACUGGGCACUGCAGAGCUCCCAGCAGAUCCAGGGCUGCUCACACUGGGCACUGCAGAGCUCCCAGCAGAUCCAGGGCUGCUAUCCAGGGCUGCUGGGGGGGGGGGGGGGGGGGGGGGGGGGGGGGGGGGGGGGGGGGGGGGGGGGGGGGGGGGGGG